rnacentral:lncRNA from 10 species
AUCAGUGGGACUUUUGACUCUACCAGGAAAAUAUCCAAAUAGGUCCAUUGCCCUCUGCUCCCACCACUGCCACUCUUGUUAGAGCCUGCCUCAGCCUCCUGAGUAGCUGGGAUUACAGGCGCCCACCACCGCGCCCGGCUAAUUUUUUGUAUUUUUAGUAGAGACAGGGUUUCAUCGUGUUAACCAGGAUGGUCUCGAUCUCUUGUAAUUGGUCCCAUUUUACAGUGAGAAACCAGAGGUCUGAGCAGUGAAAUGCUUUGCCAAGUCACAUAGCUAAUAAGGAAAGAGAUGGGAUUUGAAUCCAAGUCUGUCUCCAAGUGAGUGCAAUUUUCUUCCUAAAAAUUUCAUUAUAAAGUAAGACUUGCCUGUGAAAAAAGAAGUAUAAAAAGACAUGCAGUGAAAAAUGUUUCCUUCGUACUUCUACUCUUGGCCCUAUUCCCCAUGGGUAAUC